rnacentral:rRNA from 1 species
GACGAACGCUGGCGGCGUGCUUAACACAUGCAAGUCGAACGGUAAGGCCCUUCGGGGUACACGAGUGGCGAACGGGUGAGUAACACGUGGGUGAUCUGCCCUGCACUUCGGGAUAAGCCUGGGAAACUGGGUCUAAUACCGGAUAGGACCCUGGGAUGCAUGUCCUGGGGUGGAAAGCUUUUGCGGUGUGGGAUGGGCCCGCGGCCUAUCAGCUUGUUGGUGGGGUGAUGGCCUACCAAGGCGACGACGGGUAGCCGGCCUGAGAGGGUGACCGGCCACACUGGGAAUGAGAUACGGCCCAGACUUCUACGGGAGGCAGCAGUGGGGAAUAUUGCACAAUGGGCGCAAGCCUGAUGCAGCGACGCCGCGUGAGGGAUGACGGCCUUCGGGUUGUAAACCUCUUUCAGCACCGACGAAGCGCAAGUGACGGUAGGUGCAGAAGAAGGACCGGCCAACUACGUGCCAGCAGCCGCCGUAA